rnacentral:lncRNA from 1 species
GGUUCAAAAUUCAGUAAAACCAGAUUAUACUGUGACCAUAUUUUCUUACAUGACAUGCUGGAAGUAUGUAAAAGGAUGCCAUUUAUAAAGAUAGCAAUAUACAUAGCCUAUGCAAGUACCAUAUGAUAUACAGCUGUUCGUGUUGGAGGUUUAUUCUUCUUUAGAAAGAUUCCAAAGUACGAAUGCAGCCAACGUUAGGUGCGCAGUUGUUUUGGAUGAUUUAAAAGUCAUCCUG